AACGCACAUUGCGCCCGUUAGUAUUCUGACGGGCAUGCCUGUCCGAGCGUCAUUUAAACCCUUAAGCCCAGCUUAGUGUUGGCGGAUUGCGGCGCCCAGCGCUGCAACUGCCCAAAUCCAUUGGCGGUCCCGCCGCGGCUCCCUUGCGUAGUAACUCAACCUCGCACCGGGCCCGGGCGGCGACCCGCCGUAAAACCCCCACUAUAACAAGGUUGACCUCGGAUCAGGUAGGAAUACCCGCUGAACUUAA
rnacentral:misc_RNA from 1 species